AUGAACUUCAUGUUCGGCUACACGGUUUUAGGCAGAGUUUUGUGUUACUUUACUCUAGCAAUCUUCAUUCAAUAUUCCUGCAGUCAGACACUGAUCGAGUCUGAUCCAGUGAUCAUCAAACCUGAUCAGUCUCAUAAACUGACCUGCACAGCCUCUGGAUUAGACAUUAGUAGCCAUUACUUGGCUUGGAUCAGACAGGCGCCUGGAAAAGGGCUAGAAUGGCUUGCAAGCAUCUACAGUAGUAGUGACCUAUAUUACUCCAGUGCUGUUAAGGGCCGCUUCACCAUCUCCAGAGACGACAGUAAGAAGCAGGUGUAUCUGCAGAUGAACAGCAUGAGGACAGAAGACACUGCAGUUUAUUACUGCGCCCGUCAACCACAGUGAUACUUCCCCUUAGACAUCAGUACAAAAACACAGACUUACUAUAGACACAUGACAAACCCACAUUUUCAGAUUCAUGGAGG